GUAUUUUUCUCAUUUGUUUAUGAGGUUUACUAUUUAUCUUGCCCACUAGAACAUGAAUUUGGUGAGGGCAGGGACUUUGUCUUGUCCAACAGCUUCAUCGAGGAAUAAUUGAUAAACUAUAAGCUGCACGUACUUAAAGAUUAUAAUUUGCAUGCAGGACCUUAGUUCCCAGACCAAGGAUCGAACCUGCACCCCUGAAGUGGGAGCGCUGCAUCUUAACCACAGGACCACCAGGGAAGUCCCUCUUUUGUUUUCUUUUAAACAUUUUAUAGUUUUAGUUUUACAUUUCUGCCCCCUGGAUAUCUCUGUGGCUCCGUGAAGGGGGUCAUCUGCACUUGCUGUGCCCAUGGCUUUACCCCCUCGCUCCUCCGCUCAGGAGUCUUGUUUCUUUUCCCAUCUCCCUGCCCACCGCCUGGAGCCCCUCAAUGUAGAGUCCAGGUGCCAUCGUACCAGCCCAGCCUGAAGUACUUGGCAUGUGUGCUGGGCCAUAGCUCCUCCCCCAUGAGCUUCUAUCAACCCUCUGAAGAGCCUUCCGGGGCUGGAUAGGAGCCUCCUGCGGCUCGCUGACCUUCCUUCUGCCGUGGAUCUGAUCAAGGUGUUGAAGUCAUAAUGACCUGGGUCUGUCUUCUACUCCACUUUUCUACCACUAGAAGUCUCCCUGUCCUCCAGCAGGCCCGUGCCCAGGGCCCAGGUCAGGACCUCGCACAGAGGAGGGGCUCUGGGGAGGUUUGCUGAUUGAAUGUGUGAGAGAACUCUAUCUCUGCUCCUAGCCACAGAUGCAGCAACCUGGGCAUGAGAGACUUAACUCUCACAUUGGAGGUUAGAUCCCAGCUCGCCACCUGGGCUAUGGGGCCCAUGAUGCGGCCUUGAGGACUUCUUCGACCUCAUCUUUGCCUGUCUCUUGUUUACUGCUGGCCUUUUCAUUCCCUGAGCACACCGUACUAUUUUCUACCUCGCCCUUGGGAGUGGCUGACCUCUCUUCUGCUCUCUCUGCCAAUUCUCUUGUAAUUCAGAUUGCGGGUUGAAAGCCCCCUCCUUGGGAAGGUUCGCCUUCCCCCAACUGCCCAAUCUCAAGGAGCCACUUGGUCACUAGCUACCAUCACCAGUUUUGAUUGUCUUAGUGGAACAUCCUCACCAUCUGACAAAUUCUUCACUUAUUUGUUUGUGGUUCCUAGAACAUCACUUCAGGAAGAUGCCUGGAACAGUGCCCAGCACUUAUGGGGCCUCCAUGUUGAAUGGUAAACGUUGAAUGUUGAGUGAUUUACUGGAGUCAGUUAGGGCAGAGCCAGCCUCAGGACCCAGAUGUCCAGGUGGCUGGACCAGGCCUCUUCUCCUGCUUGGCCUUACCAGCCCUGCCACAGGUCAGCAGUAUUCUGAUCAGGUCCUCAUGCCUGCGGGGGUCUCGACUGGUAGCCCUAUGGUCCCACCCAGCGCUCAGCCCAUCACUGUUUUCUCCCCUCCCUGGGGAAGGUGCCACAGCACAGGGUCCUCCAGGGCCCUCACCAGGGCUCAGGAGCCAGUGGGGCAGGAAGCGGUGCUGACCCAGGGACCAGCCCAAAUGGCCUAGCUGGACAGGCGCCUAGCCUCACUGCCUCUCGUACAAAUGGGACAGAGGUCAAGAGGGGAGAGAGAUAUUUGAGGUUACACAGAGUCGGCAGCUGUGAGGACCCACUUCUCUCGCUGGCAGUGAAAUUCCCCAAAUUAAAACCCAGAAAAUCAGCAGGUUCCUGUCACCCAGGGGCUUGGACACUUCCUGGCUGGUCCCAGCCUGUCCUUAGGCCCUGCCCACUCAGGACUUGGCUGAAGUGGCCAGACCCAGGGAAAGGAGGAGGGAGGGCAAGAGUGUGCCCCUCCACCCCAUGACUCACUUGGGGGAGGUGGCAGUGAGGGGACCAGACAGUGGCAUCCCCUUGGCCCAAGGGCGGGUGCUGACUCAGGCAAGCAGUGACGAAUGGAGCAGGGUUCUCCUGCCACCAUGACUCACCCCUACCCACCCAUCUGUUCUCCAGGAGAAACUAUUUUGAGGGUGAUUAGUAUACGUCCCAGGAUGCUACCUUGCUGGGGGACAAGCAGCUUCCCACUCUUGCAGAGGGCAGACUGGGGGCCAGCCUAGUGUCUGCUUUGAGAAUGGAGUUUCCUUUUCCACCCCAGCCUGGUCCCGCUGUUGGCAGGGUUGGGUUUCGACCUGUUUGCUGAUUCAAGGAAGCAUCCAGGACUGGGCUGGCUGCUGGUGUUUGAGGAUGAAUGAUUAUGGCCCUGCUGAUGAAAUGGUACUUGUCAUUUAUUCUGGGCCAGCUACGGUGCUCAGCAUUUUCCACUCACUGUUUCAUUUAAUCUUCACAAGUAGGUGUAAUUAUUAUACCCAUUUUAGAGGUGAGAGAACUGAGACGCCUGAGUAGGUGGAGUGGUUGCUUGAGGUCACCCAGCUCAGGAGCGGCAGGGCUGGGAUUGGAAUCCUUGUUUUCUCAGGGAGCAGAGUCUAGACUCUUCCCUGAUGGGCGCCCACCUGACACGUUCCCUGGGGAGGGGACUUGGUCUUGCUUUUCUCCUUCCUGGCUCUUCUUUGCCUCCUGAUCCCUGGGCUCCCAGGCCCCCUGUAUACACCUCUCCUGUAACUGCUGUCCCACCUGUGCUCCCCAGGCAGGCAGUGGGUGCUCAUGGAGUGUUUGUGAAUAAGUGAGCCUUUUUUCCAAGGAACUCUGAGUCUACCAGAAUGUUCUUUCUCUCCUUACCCCCAGGUCUCCCACUGCACCCCUUCAGAGCCAGCAAUUGGUGAAUAAAUGGAGGCAAGAACGUAUGAAUGAAUCAUUUCUGUGCCUGAGCCAUGGAGAAUUUGGAGGCUCUGUUGAAGGAAGCGGUCCAUGGAGGGGCCAGACAUCAAGGGCUCCUGGGACCUUGUGCAGCUGUGGGAUGUCUGGCCUGAGAGCUUCUAGGCCCAGUUCACACACUUGGGUGGGGAGGGAUCGGUGUUGGCCUGUUUGGGGGGUGAGGGGCCUGAGGAAACGCCGGUCCUUUUGAUGCCCCAGAAGAGCUGCUUGCCCCCUGCCCCAGCCUGGAUGGAGGUGGCAUCCCCCAGGCCUGUCACCUCUCCCACACCCAGUGGCAGCCCUCCCCCCACACCCCAGUGGCACUCUUCCAUAGCAGUUUCCACAGUUUUAUACAUGAAAAGGUCACACAUGGGGCAAAAUCUCAGCUUCCCCACUUACUAGUUUUAUGAAUUUUGCAGGUAAUCUAACUUGGAGCCCAUUUCUCAGUUGUACCAUGGAGAUAAUACCUGUUAUCACCAGGUUGUUGUGAGUGUAAAAUAAGAUUCAACAAAUACCUAGCUGACAUCUUCAACCCUUGGGCCUUGCGAGGCUGAUGUGCAUCACUGCUGGGGAGGGGCCCCAGGUACCAAGGAAGAGGGAGGAGACGCUGAUUUCCUCCCUAGCCCCGGGCUCAGGCAGGCCACGUCAACCCUGAAACAGCUCCAGAAUUGCCCAGCCAAGAGAAGGGUCGAGAAUCUAAGCACCAGGUUUUUGGAUGGAACCUGACCUAGGUAGGCUCUUCUCAUCCUUGCCCACUCCUAAGGGUCUAGUGGUCUCUGAUGGCCAAAUACCAGAAGAGGCGUGUCCUGUUCUCACCACCUGUCAGCAGAGGGAGCGGGGCAGUUCCCAACCUCAUGGAACCUGCUUCCGUGUGGAAAAGGCCCUGUGGGAAUGGGCACCCGGAAGUGUCCUGGGCCGAGGGGAGAGGUGGUAAAAGGGCCCUGUGACACUGUGCCCACCCAGGGGUCAGGUGAGGAUGACUAAUCGUUUCGUGAGGUUCACAGGGGCUGGGUCACUCCAACUCUCCCCAUCCCAAAAGGGGCCCCAGAAACAAAACAAGCAGGGAGCAAGCAGAAGGUUAUUAUAUAUCAUGCUUUUAAUACAAACUUAAAAAAAUCUGGAACAAUAUAAACUGUACAGAUUUGAUCAAUCUUUUUGUUUUGUUUUUAAACUAAAUCUCUAAACACACCAAUGUUCCAUUCCAAAAUAUUGCACAACAUUCUGAAUACAAAACACUUGAUUGUAUUCCUCCUUCACUAAAGAAAACAAAUUCAUUACCCUGCUCCCGCGAGCUCCUCUCCAUGUUGCCUCAGUGCCCCCCUUCCCAUCCCCAGGGGUCAAACUAGAGAAUCUACAGCUCACUGCACUGAGAAAAAGACAUCAUUCUGGACUAAAAGUUUACUUCCUUUACAAGACGAUCCACCUUUUGACUUGUUCCUGGGAAAGGGGGUAGACAGAGAGAGGAUGGGGAAAGGGGAGAAAUAGGUUUUAUUCUCCUCUUUUUUUAUUUUAAAGUUUGUUUUUCCUGAAAAAAUAUCUUUCUCUCCUCUUAAGAAAAAAUCUUGAAAAGAAAAAAAUUACCUUUACGUUAGAAAUAUACAUAUAUUAUAUAUACCUCUUACAUUUUACAAAUGUAGCAAAUUAUUCAAUACAAACGGACACCAAAAAAUGUAAAAAAUAAAAAAAAAAAGUU